rnacentral:rRNA from 1 species
CGAUGAUCUCCCGCUUGCGGGGGUGAUUAGUGGCGAACGGGUGAGUAAUACGUGAGUAACCUGCCCUUGACUCUGGGAUAAGCCUGGGAAACCGGGUCUAAUACUGGAUACGACCUUCCACUGCAUGGUGGGGGGUGGAAAGGGUUUCUGGUCUUGGAUGGGCUCACGGCCUAUCAGCUGGUUGGUGGGGUAAUGGCCUACCAAGGCGACGACGGGUAGCCGGCCUGAGAGGGUGACCGGCCACACUGGGACUGAGACACGGCCCAGACUCCUACGGGAGGCAGCAGUGGGGAAUAUUGCACAAUGGGCGCAAGCCUGAUGCAGCGACGCCGCGUGAGGGAUGACGGCCUUCGGGUUGUAAACCUCUUUCAGCAGGGAAGAAGCGCAAGUGACGGUACCUGCAGAAGAAGCGCCGGCUAACUACGUGCCAGCAGCCGCGGUAAUACGUAGGGCGCAAGCGUUGUCCGGAAUUAUUGGGCGUAAAGAGCUCGUAGGCGGUUUGUCGCGUCUGCUGUGAAAGCCCGGGGCUCAACCCCGGGUCUGCAGUGGGUACGGGCAGACUAGAGUGCAGUAGGGGAGACUGGAAUUCCUGGUGUAGCGGUGAAAUGCGCAGAUAUCAGGAGGAACACCGAUGGCGAAGGCAGGUCUCUGGGCUGUUACUGACGCUGAGGAGCGAAAGCAUGGGGAGCGAACAGGAUUAGAUACCCUGGUAGUCCAUGCCGUAACGUUGGGCACUAGGUGUGGGGGGCAUUCCACGUCCUCCGCGCCGUAGCUAACGCAUUAAGUGCCCCGCCUGGGGAGUAC